CACGUAGGGGGCGAGCGUUGUCCGGAUUUAUUGGGCGUAAAGAGCUCGUAGGCGGCUCGGUAAGUCGGGUGUGAAAUUCGAGGCUUAACCUCGAAACGCCACCCGAUACUGCUGUGGCUAGAGUCCGGUAGGGGAGCGUGGAAUUCCUGGUGUAGCGGUGAAAUGCGCAGAUAUCAGGAAGAAUAUCCGUGGCGAAGGCGGCUCUCUGGUACGGCACUGAGCUGAGGCGCGAAAGCCAGGGAGCAAACGGG
rnacentral:rRNA from 1 species